GACGAGGAUGGACGGUACCACAGGAAGAAGCCCCGGCUAACUACGUGCCAGCAGCCGCGGUAAUACGUAGGGGGCGAGCGUUGUCCGGAGUUACUGGGCGUAAAGGGCAUGCAGGCGGUCGGACGCGUUUUGUGUGACAGCGGGUGGCUUAACUGCCCGAGUAUGCGAAAGACGGUCUGACUUGAGGGCUCGAGAGGGACACGGAAUUCCGGGUGGAGUGGUGAAAUGCGUAGAGAUCCGGAGGAACACCAAAGGCGAAGGCAGUGUCCUGGUGAGCACCUGACGCUGAGGUGCGAAAGCUAGGGGAGCGAACGGGAUUAGAUACCCCGGUAGUCCUAGCCGUAAACGAUGACCACCAGGCGUGGGAGGUAUCGACCCCUUCCGUGCCGGAGUUAACACACUAAGUGGUCCGCCUGGGGAGUACGGUCGCAAGAUUAAAACUCAAAGGAAUUGACG
rnacentral:rRNA from 1 species